AAAGCCUCCAUCCCUCUCAAUUUUUUUCUCAGCCCCACAUUUUUAUCAAUAUCAAGUACAUUAUCUGAUAAUGUUGUCUGUAGAAUUGAUGAACUAAUCAAGUAAAUCCAAGUGAUUCGAGGGCAAAAAAAGCCCACUGAAGAUGAUGUGCAUCUCAUCCAGAUGAGGUUCAUAUACAUUUGAAUCCAUGUUGGUGGGGUGCCCUUUUUUUAGACAGUGAUUGUACACCUAACUUUAUUGGAUUUCUUCCCAUUUCUCUCUUUUCACUGUUUGUACUAUCCUGAAAAUACAUCAGCCAAACCAAUGAUUUAUUAAUCUCACAAAUGAAAUCUCAAGGGCGUUUAGGGCGCUGAGUUGGGUUAGAAUUCAUGCAAAGAAUUAAACAUUAGAAUUCAGUGUUCUAAGAUCAACCACAAUGGACUUGGCAGAUUCUACAGAAAUCUCAAGAAAGAAACUAAGAUAAUUGCGAGGAAAAAUGGGAUAACCUCUAAAAUCUGUAAUCGCAGGGCCUUGUGUGAAAGCAGGAGGCCAUCUUUUUCAUCCCAAGACGGCAAAGAGAGAAUUGACAAGGACAUAACACACCAUCACUUUUAAGUGGUACACUUGCACAGUUUAACAUCACAGUCCAUAGCCCCACAUGUCUAUAAAAGCUUAGAGCUUCCAUGGAAUUGUCCAAAUGCGUCCAUAUAAAAGGCACUCAAAUCAUGUGCAAUUUGCUCUCAUUGUGGAAGAACAAUAUAAGGUUACCUUAUAAAACAAGAGUAUGGGAUGGCUGUGAAUUGCAGAUUUCUGGUGUUUGUGGCUCUGUUUCUGCUUUGUUUUGCCUCAACCACUGUUACAGGGAGAAGCAUGAGAGUUGUAUUUAUGGAGGAAGGAGAUGAAAGGCCUGAAGAUCUUUUAGUGCAUACAAACAAGGACAAGAAGAUGGAAGGCAGUGAGGAGUUGGUGGUAAUGGACUACACUCCUGCUUUAAAGAGGCCUCCAAUCCACAACUGAGAUAUAUACAAAUCAAGCUUGUUUGCUGCUGAUUAUCAAUACUGUCACUGACAUGCUUCUAAUCCAUCACAAAUGAAGCAUAGAAAUCGAUUUUAGUUGAACCAUUACAAUGAAAAUCCAGAUAAAAAUUUGAUCAGAUAUGCUUCCAAUGUUUUCUGACUAGUAAUUAUAUUCAUUCCUAAUUGUACAUAUUAUUUUCAUUCGAACAACACAGUGGAAAUAUAUAAUCUAAUUCUGAUC